UUUUUUUUGAAACAGAAGAGGAUGAAAAGGAAUAAGGAAAAAAGGAAGGGGGAAGAUCAACGAUGGGGUACGUAUUGAGGGUGAGAUUGGCUUCAUUUUUCACGGGGGCUGCUACGGCGUCGUUUGUCGGUCUCUACAUCCUCUACGAGGAUUACAAGGUUGCCCAUCAAUCCAUCGCCCAGCAGGUGAAAAGUAUUCAUGAACCUCUGGAUAGGCGAAUCUCUGCUCUGGAAAGUUUGAAACAAGCUGAAAUUUCACAUGUGGAUUCAACAAAAUAAGUCUUUUGUGGCAAAAAGAAUUUUUGCUAUAAAUUUUUUUUUGUUUCUUCAGCCAUGAUAAUAAACAAUUGUAGCUGAACAAUUAUGUACUUCAUUACGGAAUGGUAGCAUACUCUGCAAAUUGAUAU